rnacentral:rRNA from 1 species
GUGAAUGCGUUCCCGGGUCUUGUACACACCGCCCGUCACACCAUGGGAGUUGGUUCUACCUUAAGGCAAGGUUUCAAACCCUUGACCACGGUAUAGUCAGCGACUGGGGUGAAGUCGUAACAAGGUAGCCGUAGGGGAACCUGCGGCUGGAUUACCUCCUUU